CCUCCUUUCUAAGGAGUAAUCCUGACUAUUAAAGUUGGGAUACGGUCGAACUCAAAGUUUUGGUCACGCAUACCAUUUAUUUUUGGGCUUGUAGCUCAGGUUGGUUAGAGCGCAUCUCUGAUAAGGAUGAGGUCCGUGGUUCAAGUCCACGCAGGCCCACUUGAGUAAAGCCCCUUUUAAAGCUGGGGCUAUAGCUCAGUUGGGAGAGCGCCUGGUUUGCAACCAGGAGGUCGUCGGUUCGAUCCCGGCUAGCUCCACAAAAUUUUUUUGCUUUUUGACAAUUUGGAGAUGACGUAGGUAGNCUCGUUUUGCGAAGAAUGGACUUUGAUAAAGUUAUUAAGGGCGUACGGGGGAUGCCUAGGUACAUGGAGUCGAGGAAGGACGUGGUAAGCUGCGAUAAGCCUCGGGUAAGUGCAAACAACUUUAGAUCCGGGGAUUUCCGAAUGGG
rnacentral:misc_RNA from 1 species